GUGUCAGCAGCCGCGGUAAUACAGAGGUCCCGAGCGUUGUUCGGAUUCACUGGGCGUAAAGGGUGCGUAGGUGGCCUGAAAAGUUUGAUGUGAAAGCUCAGGGCUUAACCCUGAAAUGGCAUUGAAUACUGUCGGGCUGGAGGUUUGGAGGGGGGACUGGAAUUCUUGGUGUAGCAGUGAAAUGCGUAGAUAUCAAGAGGAACACCAGUGGCGAAGGCGAGUCCCUGGACAACACCUGACACUGAGGCACGAAAGCUAGGGGAGCAAACAGGAUUAGAUACCCUGGUAGUCC
rnacentral:rRNA from 1 species